rnacentral:rRNA from 1 species
AGAGUUUGAUCAUGGCUCAGGACGAACGCUGGCGGCGUGCCUAACACAUGCAAGUCGAACGGACGAGGCCCCUUCGGGGACCGAGUUAGUGGCGGACGGGUGAGUAACGCGUGAGCAACCUGCCUUUCAGAGGGGGACAACAGUUGGAAACGACUGCUAAUACCGCAUGAUGCAGCGAGAUCGCAUGGUCUUGCUGUCAAAGAUUUAUCGCUGAAAGAUGGGCUCGCGUCUGAUUAGCUAGUUGGAGGGGUAACGGCCCACCAAGGCGACGAUCAGUAGCCGGACUGAGAGGUUGAACGGCCACAUUGGGACUGAGAUACGGCCCAGACUCCUACGGGAGGCAGCAGUGGGGAAUAUUGGGCAAUGGGGGAAACCCUGACCCAGCAACGCCGCGUGAAGGAAGAAGGCUUUCGGGUUGUAAACUUCUUUUACCAGGGACGAAGAACGUGACGGUACCUGGAGAAAAAGCCACGGCUAACUACGUGCCAGCAGCCGCGGUAAUACGUAGGUGGCAAGCGUUGUCCGGAUUUACUGGGUGUAAAGGGCGUGUAGGCGGAGCUGCAAGUCAGAUGUGAAAUCUGGGGGCUUAACCCUCAAACUGCAUUUGAAACUGUAGCCCUUGAGUAUCGGAGAGGCAGGCGGAAUUCCUAGUGUAGCGGUGAAAUGCGUAGAUAUUAGGAAGAACACCAGUGGCGAAGGCGGCCUGCUGGACGACAACUGACGCUGAGGCGCGAAAGCGUGGGGAGCAAACAGGAUUAGAUACCCUGGUAGUCCACGCUGUAAACGAUGAAUACUAGGUGUGGGGGGACUGACCCCCUCCGUGCCGGAGUUAACACAAUAAGUAUUCCACCUGGGGAGUACGACCGCAAGGUUGAAACUCAAAGGAAUUGACGGGGGCCCGCACAAGCAGUGGAUUAUGUGGUUUAAUUCGACGCAACGCGAAGAACCUUACCGGGAUUUGACAUCCUACUAACGAAGCAGAGAUGCAUUAGGUGCCCUUCGGGGAAAGUAGAGACAGGUGGUGCAUGGUUGUCGUCAGCUCGUGUCGUGAGAUGUUGGGUUAAGUCCCGCAACGAGCGCAACCCCUAUUGUUAGUUGCUACGCAAGAGCACUUUAGCGAGACUGCCGUUGACAAAACGGAGGAAGGCGGGGACGACGUCAAAUCAUCAUGCCCCUUAUGUCCCGGGCUACACACGUAAUACAAUGGCGGUCAACAAAGGGAAGCAAAGCCGCGAGGCAGAGCAAACCCCCAAAAGCCGUCUCAGUUCGGAUUGCAGGCUGCAACUCGCCUGCAUGAAGCUGGAAUUGCUAGUAAUCGUGGAUCAGAAUGCCACGGUGAAUACGUUCCCGGGCCUUGUACACACCGCCCGUCACACCAUGAGAGUCGGGAACACCCGAAGUCCGUAGUCUAACCCGCAAGGGAGGGCGCGGCCGAAGGUGGGUCUGAUAAUUGGGGUGAAGUCGUAACAAGGUA